GCGGAUGUGGUGAAAUUGGUAUACACGCUAGACUUAGGAUCUAGUGCCUACGGUGUGGAGGUUCGAGUCCUCUCAUCCGCA
rnacentral:tRNA from 1 species